rnacentral:rRNA from 1 species
CCUACGGGUGGCUGCAGUAAGGAAUAUUGGUCAAUGGAGGCAACUCUGAACCAGCCAUCCCGCGUGAAGGAUGAAGGGGCUCUGCCUUGUAAACUUCUUUUGUCUGGGGCGAAAAAGCUCGAUUUAUCGAGAACUGACGGUACCAGAAGAAUAAGCACCGGCUAACCCCGUGCCAGCAGCCGCGGUAAUACGGAGGGUGCAGGCGUUAUCCGGAUUAACUGGGUUUAAGGGGGCUGUAGAAGUCAGUGGUGAAAUGCUGUGGCUUAACCAUGGAAUUGCCAUUGAUACUGCAGAGCUUGAAUGAGGUUGAGGUUGGCGGAAUGUGACAUGUAGCGGUGAAAUGCUUAGAUAUGUCAUGGAACACCGAUUGCGAAGGCAGCUGACUGGACCUAUAUUGACGCUGAGGCACGAAAGCGUGGGGAGCGAACAGGAUUAGAUACCCCUGUAGUC